CAACCCUGAUCCAGCCAUGCCGCGUGCGGGAAGAAGGCCUUUCGGGUUGUAAACCGCUUUUAGUCGGGAAGAAAAGGCACGUUUUAAUACAGCGUGUUCUUGACGGUACCGGCGGAAUAAGCACCGGCUAACUACGUGCCAGCAGCCGCGGUAAUACGUAGGGUGCGAGCGUUAAUCGGAAUUACUGGGCGUAAAGCGUGCGCAGGCGGUUCGUUAAGUCUGAUGUGAAAGCCCCGGGCUCAACCUGGGAACUGCAUUGGAAACUGGCGGGCUUGAGUAUGGCAGAGGGGGGUGGAAUUCCGCGUGUAGCAGUGAAAUGCGUAGAGAUGCGGAGGAACACCGAUGGCGAAGGCAGCCCCCUGGGCCAAUACUGACGCUCAGGCACGAAAGCGUGGGGAGCAAACAGGAUUAGAUGCCCUGGUAGUCCACGCCCUAAACGAUGCUCACUAGGUGUUGGGGAAGCGAUUCCUUGGUACCGUAGCUAACGCGUGAAGUGAGCCGCCUGGGGAGUACGGCCGCAAGGUUAAAACUCAAAGGAAUUGACGGGGACCCGCACAAGCGGUGGAUGAUGUGGAUUAAUUCGAUGCAACGCGAACAACCUUACCUACCCUUGACAUGUCCGAGAGCCUGCUGAAAGGUGGGUGUGCCCGAAAGGGAAUCGGAACACAGGUGCUGCAUGGCUGUCGUCAGCUCGUGUCGUGAGAUGUUGGGUUAAGUCCCGCAACGAGCGCAACCCUUGUCCCUAGUUGCUACGCAAGGGCACUCUAGGGAGACUGCCGGUGACAAACCGGAGGAAGGUGGGGAUGACGUCAAGUCCUCAUGGCCCUUAUGGGUAGGGCUUCACACGUCAUACAAUGGUCGGUACAGAGGGUCGCCAACCCGCGAGGGGGAGCCAAUCCCACAAAGCCGAUCGUAGUCCGGAUUGCAGUCUGCAACUCGACUGCAUGAAGUCGGAAUCGCUAGUAAUCGUGGAUCAGCAUGUCACGGUGAAUACGUUCCCGGGUCUUGUACACACCGCCCGUCACACCAUGGGAGCGGGAUGUACCAGAAGUAGGUAGGCUAACCGCAAGGAGGCCGCUUACCACGGUGCGUUUCGUGACUGGGGUGAAGUCGUA
rnacentral:rRNA from 1 species